UACGUAGGGGGCAAGCGUUGUCCGGAUUCAUUGGGCGUAAAGAGCGUGUAGGCGGCCCGGUAAGUCCGCUGUGAAAGUCCAGGGCUCAACCCUGGAAUGCCGGUGGAUACUGUCGGGCUCGAGUCCGGAAGAGGAGUGUGGAAUUCCUGGUGUAGCGGUGAAAUGCGCAGAUAUCAGGAAGAACACCAAUGGCGAAGGCAGCUCUCUGGGACGGUACUGACGCUGAGACGCGAAAGCGUGGGGAGCGAACAGG
rnacentral:rRNA from 1 species